rnacentral:rRNA from 13 species
CUUCUAAGCUUCAGGCUAUUCGAGACCGUACCCCAAACCGACACAGGUGGUCAGGUAGAGAAUACCAAGGCGCUUGAGAGAACUCGGGUAAAGGAACUAGGCAAAAUGGUGCCGUAACUUCGGGAGAAGGCACGCUGGUGGUAGGUGAAACCCCUUGCGGGUGGAGCUGAAACCAGUCGAAGAUACCAGGCCCCUGCGACUGUUUAUUAAAAACACAGCACUGUGCUAACACGAAAGUGGACGUAUACGGUGUGACGCCUGCCCGG